rnacentral:rRNA from 1 species
GUGGGGAAUAUUGGACAAUGGGCGCAAGCCUGAUCCAGCAAUGCCGCGUGUGUGAAGAAGGCCUUCGGGUUGUAAAGCACUUUUGUUUGGGAAGAAAUCCGGUUGGUUAAUACCCGAUCGGGAUGACGGUACCAAAAGAAUAAGCACCGGCUAACUUCGUGCCAGCAGCCGCGGUAAUACGAAGGGUGCAAGCGUUAAUCGGAAUUACUGGGCGUAAAGCGUGCGUAGGUGGUUUGUUAAGUCAGAUGUGAAAGCCCUGGGCUCAACCUGGGAACUGCAUUUGAUACUGGCAGGCUAGAGUGCGGUAGAGGGUGGUGGAAUUCCCGGUGUAGCGGUGAAAUGCGUAGAGAUCGGGAGGAACAUUCGUGGCGAAGGCGGCCACCUGGACCAGCACUGACACUGAGGCACGAAAGCGUGGGGAGCAAACAGGAUUAGAAACCCCUGUAGUCC